rnacentral:misc_RNA from 1 species
AACGCAUAUGGCACCCGAGACUUCGGUCGAGGGUAUAUCUGUCUCAGAGUCGACGUUAAAACAUCCCCAGGGAAGACCGAUUGGUCUCUUCUUGGGGGAGCUGGCCUUCCCGGAUUGCUGGGUCGAAAGCCCUAGCGUCUUCCGGGUCGGCUGAAGGAGAGAGACGGGGGACCGCAUGCGACGGGCAGCCGACUUUGGUGGGAGGACCUCGCGUCCGCAUCACUGGUCGAAAGCCCACUAUAAGCAAGCGGCCGCGAUGGACCCCGCCUAUGCAGGAAACAACUUUGUUUUUCGACCUGAGAUCAGGUAAGAUCACCCGCUGAACUUAA